UGCAAAUGAUGUUUUUUUCUCACGAUGGUCUUCCAAGCUCAAGAAGCUCUGACGACAUUGCCUUUGGCAAAUGCUGAUGCAGCUCA